rnacentral:rRNA from 1 species
GGAGUUUGGGCCGUGUCUCAGUCCCAAUGUGGCCGGUCGCCCUCUCAGGCCGGCUAUUGAUCGUCGCUUUGGUAGGCCGUUACCCCACCAACUGGCUAAUCAAACGCGGGUCCAUCUAUAAGCGAAAUUCUUUUCACACUGUAUCAUGCGAUACUGGUGUGCUUAUCGUGUAUUAGCAGUCAUUUCUAACUGUUGUUCACGUCUUAUAGGCAGGUUACCCACGCGUUACUCACCCGUCCGCCACUAGAAUUUCUAAACAUCCAGCGAACCUUCAGUCUAGAGUUCCCGUUCGACUUGCAUGUGUUAAGCACGCCGCCAGCGUUCAUC